GUAAGCGCGCAGGUGUAAAAGGGGCCUCUCACCUGCACUGCAGGUACACCUGUAGAAUUGUCCAGGUGUGGAAACACAGGGCAUGGAAACAUCGGUGUGUGAAGCACUCCUGUCUUGGGCAGACCGGGAUGGGGAGCCUCUAAGGAAAAAACACCUAUGUGGCACACACCUGCAUGAGAGCUUAGGUUUAAAGAAGACAUCUGCACGGAUCUGUAAGAACGCCGAGGGACACAUCUGCCUUGAAACACAUCUAUUUGGAGUAUAGCUGAAUGGAAGCCUGCCUGUGGGGAAAACAGCUGUAGAGAACACACCUGCAUGUUAAACACCUGGCUGAGGCACUGUGGCGCGGGGCACAUCUGUUCUGGGAAUGCAUCUGCAUGGCUCACCUAUGAAAUGAACAAGAUUUGCAGGAGGAAUUGCCGUGUGGAAAGACAUUAGAAACACCUGUACAAGACACACCUGCAUUGAAGUGCGCCUGUAGGGGACCCCGUUAUAUGAAAAAGCCUCAUAUGGAUGGAUAUUUAAAUGGAAUACACCUGUGGUGGCGGAGGCUGUGUAACGCAUUCCUGGGUGGAGGAAUACCUGUUGAGACACAUACCUAUGAGGUGGAGGAAACAACCUUGCAGGAGGGACAGCUGCGUAGAACUGAGCUCAUGUGAGAGGGAGAUCUGAGCACGCCUGCGUGGGGCACUCUAACAGAAGCACAUCUGAGGGGGGCUCGUGUGUACUGAGGUCCAUCUGUCAAGGAUGCACCUGUGAGAAACCGUUUGUUUGGGACAUCUCCGUGGGAAAAUAUCUGUAUCCCCCUAUGUUGCAGGGCACCUGCAAGGGCCAUCUGUGAAUGAAAACGUCUGUGAAGAGACCCUCUAUAAGAGGCUUUGUCUGGAACACACCUGUUAGAGCACACCUAUCUGGGCAUAUUGCCAGGGAGCCAUAUUGCCCUCUCGGCUGUAUCUUUGGAUAAAGGACGAUGGUGAUAAGACGACCUCAUCCUGCGGACUCUACAGUGAAGAGUUAUGGUUAAGGGAAAAUUAAUCCCUUCCAGGUCAUAGAUCAACGAUGGAAUGAAUGUGGUGUUCCCUGCUGUUGCUGCUGCUGCUGCUAAGUCGCUUCAGUCGUGUCCGACUCUGUGCGACCCCAUAGACGGCAGCCCACCAGGCUUCCCCGUCCCUGGGAUUCUCCAGGCAAGAACACUGGAGUGGUUUGCCAUUUCCUUCUCCAAUUCAUGAAAGUAAAAAGUGAAAGUCGUGUCCGACUCUUAGCGACCCCAUGGACUGCAGCCUACCAGGCUCCUCCGUGCAUGGAUUUUCCAGGCAAGAGUACUGGAGUGGGGUGCCAUUGCCUUCUCCGGUGGUGCAUCCUCGGUUGUGCUAAUACCCGGGCGUCCCUGACCCUCCCCCCUCCAGCUCCGCCCUCAGCCCCCUCCCCCCAAAG
ensembl:lncRNA